rnacentral:rRNA from 1 species
UACGUAGGGAGCAAGCGUUGUCCGGAAUCAUUGGGCGUAAAGCGCGCGUAGGCGGCCCGAUAAGUCCGCUGUAAAAGUCAACGGCUCAACUGUUGAAAGCCGGUGGAUACUGUCGGGCUAGAGUACGGAAGAGGCAAGUGGAAUUCCUGGUGUAGCGGUGGAAUGCGCAGAUAUCAGGAGGAACACCCAUAGCGAAGGCAGCUUGCUGGGACGUUACUGACGCUAAGGCGCGAAAAGCGUGGGGAGCGAACAGG